rnacentral:rRNA from 1 species
UACGGAGGGGGCUAGCGUUGUUCGGAAUUACUGGGCGUAAAGGGCGCGUAGGCGGCCUGUUAAGUCGGAUGUGAAAUCCCUGGGCUCAACCCAGGAACUGCGUCCGAUACUGGUUGGCUUGAAUCCGGGAGAGGGAUGUGGAAUUCCAGGUGUAGCGGUGAAAUGCGUAGAUAUCUGGAGGAACACCGGUGGCGAAGGCGACAUCCUGGACCGGUAUUGACGCUGAGGCGCGAAAGCCAGGGGAGCAAACGGG